AGGAACCUGCCUAGAGACGCCACAGCAGUGUGCCCAAGUAGUCCUGUUGGCAGCCUGCCCCUAUGCAGCUUUUGGCGAUGCAAAACGACUUCUUGUUCUGCAAGCCAGGAAAUCCAAGCAAGGUGUCGGCAGAUUUGAUGUCUGGUGAGGUUCCAUUCCUCAUAGAUGGUUCCUUCUGUGUAUCAUCACAGGAUGGAAGGGGCAAGUCGAUUCCCUGAAGCCUCUUUUAUAAGGGCACUACGCACUGUGGUAGGCCCAGGAGAUACCAGGAUGAAAGACGUAUUCUAGAGCUCAUUCUGGAGACAAAGACAGCAGCCACCAGAUUUAUUUUAACAAAACUAAAGAGGCUUUGAGAACCAGAAAGGAUCUCACAAGUUGCCAGUCCAUGACAAAGUUUUCUCUGACAAAUGCUGAAAUUUAAAAAUAUGGACAAUGUAUUAAGUUUUCAUAAAAAUAAAUUUAUUCAAUUUAAAAG
rnacentral:lncRNA from 1 species